AUGAAGUACGCAGGACAGUUGCAUAGUAUAAGGAACUGUACUGUAUCUUGCUUUUUUGUUGGACUAGAUGUAAAGGUUUUUACCCAUCGCUGCUGUUUUGAGCAUGGCAUGUGCUUGUGGGAGAAGAGUGACUUGAAAGCUGGCUGGAUUUUGCAGAAAGGAGAACAGGCCUGGCCUAAGCAUAGACCACCAAGAGAUCACACCCACAAUACUGCAGCAGGUCAUUACAUUACUCCAGCGCAUGAUCUGGGUGAAAUCCAGACAGCACAAAUCACCUCUAGCACCCUGCUGCCCAGCACUUAUUUCACCGUGAAAUUGUACCACUAUUCUCAUGGUGAAAAUAGCACAGCUGCCAGGCUAGUCAUCAUACUGAGGACACUUCGUAAUGGAGAUGAUGACCGUAUACUUUGGGACAAGACUGUGACACAGAGCUUUCUCUGGCACAGAGCGGAAGUCACCUUUUCUACCUCAGUUGAGAGCAAGGUAAGAGAUUUUUACAGUAUAUGUGUCAUUUACAUAAUUUCAUGCCUUAGAUCGGCUACUGUAAUCAUAAGGUGCAAAAGAAAUAAAUCUGACAGUGAGGCUCAUGCGUCACAGACAGCGGUGGACAAUGUUUCCUUCUCUGUGACAUGUGCUCAUGAUCCAGACAACGGUCACAUCUGACCUAACAAUAACACCAGCUACAGCAACAAC
ensembl:lncRNA